rnacentral:rRNA from 1 species
UACGUAGGGUGCAAGCGUUGUCCGGAAUCAUUGGGCGUAAAGCGCACGUAGGCGGCUAGAUAAGUCGGGUGUGAAAGCCCUGGGCUCAACCCAGGAAGUGCAUUCGAAACUGUCUAGCUUGAAUCUCGGAGGGGGUCAGAGAAUUCCCGGUGUAGAGGUGAAAUUCGUAGAUAUCGGGAGGAAUACCAGUGGCGAAGGCGCUGACCUGGACGAAGAUUGACGCUGAGGUGCGAAAGCGCGGGGAGCAAACAGG